rnacentral:misc_RNA from 1 species
AGCAGCCACGGUAAUUCCAGCUCCAAUAGCGUAUAUUAAAGUUGUUGCAGUUAAAAAGCUCGUAGUUGAAUCUCGGAAUCAAUUAAUUGGUCGUGCCUAUGGUACGUACUGAUUUUAUUGGUUUCUCCUUCUGACGACCCAUGAUGUCAUUAAUUUGGUGUCGUGGAGGAUCAGGACUGUUACUUUGAAAAAUUAGAGUGUUUAAAGCAAGCUAACGCUUGAAUACAUUAGCAUAGAAUAAUGAAAUAGGGCGUUUGAUCCUAUUUUGUUGGUUUCUAGGAUCAACGUAAUGAUUAAUAGGGAUAGUUGGGGGCAUUAGUAUUCAAUUGUCAAAGGUGAAAUUCUUGGAUUUAUUGAAGACUAACUACUGCAAAAGCAUUUGUUAAGGAUGUUUUAUUAAUCAAGAACGAAAGUUAGGGGAUCGAAGACGAUCAGAUACCGUCGUAGUCUUAACCAUAAACUAUGCCGACUAGGGAUCGGAUGAUGUUAAUUUUUUAAUGACUCAUUCGGCGCCUUACGG